CCCUCCAACACCUGGGAACUGCUUGCCACUUCCUUGGGGCCUCUGAUUUUAGGUUCUAUUAUAUCUUGUUUAAAUUCCUGAGGUAUUGUGAGUCAGCUAAAAUGUUAUAAACCAAAUCCUAUUUUCCCAUUUACAUUUUCACCUUAAGAUAUUUCGUCUUCAUUCCAACCCUCUCUCUCAAAUUGGUAAGCCUUAAACACUUCAGCGGUCUGGGACAGUUUCUAUUUAAAGAAGCUCUUUGCCAUCUAUGUAUAGAGAGCGUUGAAUAGCCAUUGUUAUGUUUCAGUCUGUCUCUCUCACAUAUUUACAUUUUAAAUAUGGGCUUUAAAAAAUGGGGUGCAGUUUUGUUUCAUUCUUCUGCCUUUCUAAAUCCUCUCCAAAAUUGGGUGGCCCUUCUUAGGUUGAAAGCUGUUUUCUCUUGUUCCUUUUUUUCUCAUCUGGAUUGCAGAUACAUUUCACUAGCACCAUUUCUCCUUACUUGGGCCUUACGAGGGCCUUAGCCAAAUUCCAGCCCGUGCCUCCCUCUACCAGUGGUGGGCACACCAUCUGCGACAUUCUCCUCCAUCUUCCUUUUGUGAGAUAAGAAGGUAGAAUUCCAUAUGACAUAAGAAUUCCACGGCUUUCACCUCCUAAAUGC
rnacentral:lncRNA from 1 species